rnacentral:rRNA from 1 species
AGAGUUUGAUCCUGGCUCAGAAUGAACGUUGGCGGCGUGGAUUAGGCAUGCAAGUCGAGCGAGAAGGCUCCCUUCGGGGAGCUGGACAGCGGCAAACGGGGUAGUAAGGCGUCGGUACGCACCCCCAGGACCGGGAUAGCCGCGGGAAACUGCGGGUAAUACCGGAUAAUAUCUCCGGAUCAAAUGGUGAGAUUCCGCCUGGGGACCGGCUGACGUGAUACCAGCUUGUUGGUGAGGUAACGGCUCACCAAGGCGAAGACGUCUAGGGGGUGUGAGAGCAUGGCCCCCACCACUGGGACUGAGACACUGCCCAGACACCUACGGGUGGCUGCAGUCGAGAAUCUUCGGCAAUGGGCGAAAGCCUGACCGAGCGACGCCGCGUGCGGGAUGACGGCCCUUGGGUUGUAAACCGCUGUCAGAGGGGAUGAAAUUUCGUGGGGCUAUCCCCACGAUUUGACAAAGCCUCACAGGAAGCCCGGGCUAAAUACGUGCCAGCAUCCGCGGUAAUACGUACUGGGCGAACGUUAUUCGGAAUCACUGGGCUUAAAGGGUGCGUAGGCGGCCAUCCAGGUCUGAUGUGAAAUCUUUCGGCUCAACCGGGAAAAUUGCGUUGGAAACCGGAUGGCUUGAGUGUGCUAAGGGUGUGUGGAACUUUCCACUGGACCUGUGAAUUGUGUUGAAAUAUGAAGGAACGCCCAGUCUCGAAAGCUAUACGCUGGGGCAUAACUGACGCUGUGCACAACAGCUGCAGUAGCGAACGGGAUAGAUAUGCCGGUAAAUCUUAGAUGUGAAGCGAUGAGACCACUCGGGAUAGUCUUCGGGCCACUCCGACGCCAGAAUGUCUAUGUACUACUACUGCGGAAUAGGGUCACAUGCGGAAUCUCACUAGGGAUGAUUGGUAUGGUCGCAAGGCGAAACUCAAAGGAAUUGACGGGGGCUCACACAAGCGGUGGAGCAUGUGGCUUAAUUCGAGGCAACGCGAAGAACCUUAUCCUA